UUCGUUAAAGAGAGCUACACUCAUUUUCACUUUUCAUCGUAAACCUGGAUCCGCCACUAUCAGCUUCGCUAAAAUAAAAAUAAAAACUAUUGGUGUGGAAACAUUUGUUUUAAAAGAAUUUAAAACAAUCAGAGGUAGUUAUUUGAAAUAAACCCUAUCAGAAGAAAAGAAAUGAAGAGUACCGUAAUCGUGGAAAGUUGACUCCUUGGCAAUUAUACCUCAUUUUAUUUUUCAUACUGAUCAUCCCUUUUUAGUUCACAUGAUUUCAUUUCGUAUCAUGCUUUGACUAUGACAUGAAAUGUAAAAUGACAUUAAAGAAAAAACAUAAUCAACUUAGAUGAGACAGCAAUCCAACAAAAAAAAAGACCACUGAGGUCUUGGAUACAAAAUCAUUAUGGUAUCAUGUACGACUUUA
rnacentral:lncRNA from 1 species